CCUACGGGUGGCAGCAGUGGGGAAUUUUGGACAAUGGGCGCAAGCCUGAUCCAGCUAUUCCGCGUGUGGGAUGACGGCCCUCUGGUUGUAAACCACUUUAGUAGAGGACAUAAAGGAGCUAUCGAAUAAAUAUCUGUGCUUACCGUAUUCUACGGAUAAGCACCGGCUAACUACGUGCCAGCAGCCGCGGUAAUACGUAGGGUGCGUGCGUUAAUCGGAUUUACUGGGCGUAAAGGGUGUGCAGGCGGCUGGGUAAGACAGAUGUGAAAUCCCCGGGCUUAACCUGGGAACCGCAUAUGUGACUGGUUGGCUAGAGUGCGUCAGAGGGAGGUGGAAUUCCACGUGUAGCAGUGAAAUGCGUAGAUAUGGGGAAGAACACCGAUGGCGAAGGCAGCAUCCUGGGACGCAACUGACGCUCAUACACGAAGGCGUGGGGAGCAAACAGGAUUAGAUACCCCAGUAGUC
rnacentral:rRNA from 1 species